rnacentral:lncRNA from 10 species
CUGCCCCAGCCGUAUAUGAGUGUUCCCUCCUCUGCCUUCCACUGCCUGCUCCUUGGUGCUUGCCACACCCCGAGGAACCAUGGAUAAUGGAAACAUGGCAUUCCAAGCAGCACAUUCCAAGGCCCUGCAACCCCCUCCCCGGCUGCCACUCCAACUCUAGCCUCCCAGGCCCUGUUCUACAGAUGGUGGAGCCGGCCGCCCAGCAGAUGCAGUUGGACAUGCAGAACUUCCUAAGGCUGAAGAGGUAGGUACUAACGCAGGCCGAGCAGCUGAUGGGGAUAGACAGAUGCAGGAACUGGAGCUGAAGACAGCAGGGUCAGGGGCUGGGGCUCUGUCUGCAUCCUCCACCCUCACCACCUCUGCUACCCCAGCAGCCUGGCUCCUGCCGAGGGCCCCACAAUGGAUCCAAGGGAGCUACUGCUUCUCGUCCUCUUAGCUUUGACCUCUUUCUCUGCUUCCUCUCCCACUGUACGUGUCUGUUUGUUCUCUAAGCCUCCCUAAAAUGAAGGGGCUGGACAGGCUCAUCCCUCCUGUGUCCACACCAGCCAAUGUCCUUACUCUGCCU